UAGCGAGCGAGAGCGAAACCGGCAAGUCUAGAGCCCGACAAACAGCCCGACAAACACCGGCCAACCUCUUUCAAAUCAUCGGAUGCCAGUCCGAUUUGAACCGCCUCUUACUUUUAGUCGGAGGAGAAGGUCUAUAAAUGACACUCUACAUACAUGCAAAGUGCAGUUUGUCCCCACGUAUGAUUUGUUUUCAUGGGAGACCUUGACUAUUGUCACGAGCAAGCUCACUGAGGUCCCGGACCAAACCCCUGCUUCAAGAGAAACCCCUGUCCCGUCCACGAGAGGCUGAGUGAGGUAGAGAGGAGGAAAACAACUGAACCACGAGGAUACUUGGCCAAUAUUUUGUACUUUUAAUUGAAUAUAUAACGUUCGUUAAUCCGAGUGUUUUUCGAUCUUAUUAACUCUAUCAGUCACGCUACUUGUCUCGCCACCAAGCUAAUGUGGGGGGACAUGUUGUGCCAUCAUCCGCCUGGUACCCAACAAGAGUGCCUGACCCAGGGAGCUUGCUAGUUGUCCCAUUUGCAAUGUAUUCAUCAUCAUAGCAAGCAGACGAUUUGAUAAUUUCUCGCCUAUCUUUGGCUUUUUUAACUUAAUUUUUUGUGCCAAUUGUUCUUUCUUUGCAUAGAGACGUGUAAAGUAUCGCAUCGUGUUUCAGCUGUGUGAGCUAGCCAGGCUGCAGCGCAAUUGCAGCAAAAACUACCAUGAUUUUAGCAAACCCAGUGCUUCCAAAUCUUCAUUGACAAAAUUGUUUGCCAUCUUAGGACAUCGUUUGACAAUUAUCUAAA